rnacentral:rRNA from 1 species
GAUGAACGCUAGCUGUAGGCUUAACACAUGCAAGUCGAGGGGAAACGGCAUUAUGUGCUUGCACAUUUUGGACGUCGACCGGCGCACGGGUGAGUAUCGCGUAUCCAACCUGCCCUUUACUUGGGGAUACCCCGUUGAAAGACGGCCUAAUACCCGAUGUAAUUCAUUGAUGGCAUCAGAUAUGAAUAAAAGAUUUAUCGGUAAAGGAUGGGGAUGCGUCUGAUUAGCUUGUUGGUGAGGUAACGGCUCACCAAGGCGACGAUCAGUAGGGGUUCUGAGAGGAAGGUCCCCCACAUUGGAACUGAGACACGGUCCAAACUCCUACGGGAGGCAGCAGUGAGGAAUAUUGGUCAAUGGGCGCAAGCCUGAACCAGCCAAGUAGCGUGCAGGAAGACGGCCCUACGGGUGGUAAACUGCUUUUAUACGAGAAUAAUUUGAUGCACGUGUGCGUUAUUGCAUGUAUCGUAUGAAUAAGGACCGGCUAAUUCCGUG